UCCCUGCUGGCUCAAGAAUGGUAAAGCAUCUGCCUGCAAUGCAGGAGACCCAGGUUCAAUCCCUGGGUGGGAAA
rfam:Ovis aries breed Texel chromosome 16, whole genome shotgun sequence.